GCCUUUGAUGUUCACAUCUUCCGGUAGUCCUGUCGCAGAUGACUUUCGCCCAUUUAUAGAACCACACUUUCUUUAAUUUGAAUUCUAUGUGGUAGGACGAGAGUCAUCUGUGACAGGAUAAUGGAAGAUCGAGUUAUCAAAGGC